GGGCUGUGCUCAGGACUCUUCUACUAUAAACUCAUGCUGUUGUAAUAGAUGCAGUAUGAAGUUUAUUAAUGUCUUACUGAAAUAGACAAAGACAGAUGAAAGCAGAUGUUGCUCUUUCAGUAUUGAUGAGAUGUGAAAGCUGCUCAUUUAGACGCUAAUCCUCCUCCAUACCAACAGAGAUGAAGGCUUUUGAUGUGAGCACUGAUAACAAAGACCUACUACAAAUAAAACAAACAUAAAACUAUGCUAACUAUAGUUAAGUCAUGCUUGAUUUUCUUAAGGACAAUUCAUCUCAUGUGCAUUACAUCUCAUGGUGCUUUCAUUCUUCACUCAUUCAUGUCAGUACAGUCUGCACACGAGCGACAUCUCGUGGACUUUGAUUGUAUUGCAUCAAAUGAGUCAUUCUGGACCAAACCCGAACUCAAAAGUAAUAUUUAAUACAUUUAUAAACUGAUGAUUUUACCCCUGCUGAUGUAAAACAUUUCUGUUAGUGUUGAUGUAAAACUAAGAGUAAACACAAGGUGUCAGAAUUUAUGUGUGAAA